rnacentral:pre_miRNA from 1 species
GGGUGUUACAUGAAAGAUCAGAACUUGUUUGGUAGCCAAGGAUGACUUGCCCACAUUUCUCUGCUGCUAGCUGCAUCUUACUUAACAGUACAGAAAUUAAGGAAUUGUUUUGGGCAGUCUCCUUGGUUAUGCUGACAGUUUACAAUCUCUCAUGCUAUGCCC